rnacentral:misc_RNA from 1 species
CUCUGUCACUGCACUCUUUUCUCAUAAUUCGAGAGGUGGCUGCUGUAUUUAACUCAGAUUGCUUUGAUGUCUGCUUGGUUAAAGCAUACAAGGCUUUUAUUAGUCGCUGCAAGUUUGUGGAGCCAGUUAUAUUUAAGCACAUACUAUUUAUUCUUUUGUUGAGCUAUGCUCUCUAGAUGUACAGAAAGCAUCUAAUAAGGCAACAGUUUCUAUCCAACAGCUUGCUAAGAUAUUGCAGCUGGGCCUACGGACUAAGAAGAAGGAAGCAGUUAAGAAGAUAUGCAGUUGGCAGUAUGCCAACUGCAUUGAACUCUGGAUUGCAUUUAUAUCAGUGAACAUACAUGAUUGUGAUCUUCAACCAUUGCUUUAUAUGAUCAUUCAGAUCAUAAAUGGAGUAGCUGUACUGUUCCCAGGACCAAGAUACUUGCCUUUAAGAGUUAAAUGUGUUCAAUGGCUGAAUCAUCUAUCCAGUUCUAGUGGUGUUUUUAUCCCUGUGGCAUCAUUGGCAUUGGAUGUUUUAGAAUAUAAAAUUGGCAAGGGGGGUAGCAAGCCAGGGAAGGACUUCAACUUUUCAUCUGCC